GACGAACGCUGGCGGCGUGCUUAACACAUGCAAGUCGAACGGAAAGGCCUGCUUUCCCUUGUGGAUUGCGGGCACUCGAGUGGCGAACGGGUGAGUAACACGUGAGUGAUCUGCCCCCAACUUGGGUAUAAGCCUGGGAAACUGGGUCUAAUUCCCGAUAGGACUGCAGGGUGGUGCCUGUGGUGGAAAACGAUUUUCUAGUGGUUGGGGAUGAGCUCGCGGCCUAUCAGCUUGUUGGCGGGGUAAUGGCCUACCAAGGCGGCGACGGGUAGCCGGCCUGAGAGGGUGGACGGCCACAUUGGGACUGAGAUACGGCCCAGACUCCUACGGGAGGCAGCAGUGGGGAAUAUUGCACAAUGGGCGGAAGCCUGAUGCAGCGACGCCGCGUGGGGGAUGACGGCCUUCGGGUUGUAAACUCCUUUCGACCGCGAGGAAGCCACCUGGUUGGAAGGGUGGUGACGGUAGUGGUAGAAGAAGCACCGGCUAACUACGUG
rnacentral:rRNA from 1 species